UCAACUUGCCUCCUUCUCAGCUUUUAAUGUUUUUUUAAUGGAGUCCAGUUUUCCGCCUAAGUUAUGGCUAGCCUUCUGACAAACCAUCAGACACCUAAGCAACCGGAAUGGAGGUGUCCAGAUGUGACAUGGUGUGGGGAUGCAAAUUCAUCUAGGACAGUGGUAUUUCUGUGAUAAAGAAAGAAGUCUAUGUUCUUGAAAGUCAGCAAUCUAUACAACUUGGAAGACAUCAGCAGAACAUUUGGUAAUUAAAUACGCCCUCAACUGAGAAAUAAUGCCUGGAGUUGUCCUGCUGGGGUUUCAAGAGGACAGUGGAUGGUGUAUGGAUGAUGGCAAUGACUAGAUUGUGAACCACAUGUGGAAAAGCCAUAAUCCAUGGCUUUGAUGUCAAGAAGCCACAGCUCACCAAUCAAAUGAUAUCAGCAUGAUGGAAAAAAAGGAUGAGAGAAGGAAGACCCUGGAACAAGGGAGAAGGGAAGAAGAAGGAUGGAGAUCAGGAACAUGGCCAACCUGGAUUCUCAUUUGUAACUAGGUAGUAAGGGCUUGCCUUCAGAAGCGUGCAUGUCAUAUUUAACUGGUGCCUUCCUAUAACAUCUUGACUUAAUAAAGAGACUAGCAAAAGGAAAAGAGAAGAAAAAUGAAAGAAAAAAAUCCGCAGCAAGACAAUAAAAAGUUUCCUCUUCACACCCACCGCUGUGGGGGUUUUUCCUUUGUGCCUCACGGCUUACCCCACUGAAAAGCAUCAAUUUUUGCUUUUAUGCUGGAAAUGUCCAAAAAACAUUUGAAGCUUCCCAGCCACCCCUUGGGGGUGAGAACGUUUCAUGGUGUGUCUCCAGGGAAGGCUAGGGGGCCAGGGUCGGGUAGAGACGAGGCUUUCUCCCCUUCACAGAGGAACAAAGGACAGAACCUCAGAGUUCUUGACCCAACGUGUGACCUUGGGCCCAAGGCAAAACAUUUUAUCUCUGGGUCCUAGUGACAUAAGCUCUCUGGGCUCUGUGAUUGUGCUCUAGGAUGUGACCAAAAACCUUUGAUGGAAUUACUGCCUCCCCUCUCUCUCUCUCUCUGCCCGGACAUUUAUUAUUCUGUAUAUUUUCGAGAGCUGUGGGAAACUUUCAUAACCAAAGCCUAAGCCAGGCGAAAACUUGUUCUAUUUGGAAUUUGUAAUGAAGUCAAAACAUGGCCUGGAUUUUCUGAAAGGCUCCUUUGGCUGCCUGUGACAGCCCCAGGGCACAAUCAGACGGGGAUGGAGCAGGCCUGGGAGCACAUUUCGUUACCAAGAAUAGGACACAACAAUAUUUGCCUCCCAAACACCACGGCUGCUAUUUACCUUCUCAGCUGGAAGAAGUGAGAGAUAAAUGCAGAUUUCACAUAAAGCGCAAAUACCAAUUCUUUCAUUUCUAAUUUGGGGGAUUUCCCCCCCCCACCCCCCGAGCUCCCUCUAAACAAAAGGUUAGGGAGAGUUUUUAGCAUAUUUGAUUUCCUGACCUAAGGGAAGAAAUUCUUUAUUUCAGAACUUUUGACCCCCAAAGAGCUCUUACUUUUGCCUGAAAGCCUGAAUAAAAAUGGUUAGACAUGUGAAGCGA